UACGUAGGUGGCAAGCGUCGUCCGGAAUUACUGGGUGUAAAGGGAGCGCAGGCGGGAAGCCAAGUCAGCUGUGAAAACUACGGGCUUAACUUGUAGACUGCAGUUGAAACUGGUUUUCUUGAGUGAAGUAGAGGUUGGCGGAAUUCCGAGUGUAGCGGUGAAAUGCGUAGAUAUUCGGAGGAACACCGGUGGCGAAGGCGGCCAACCGGGCUUUAACUGACGCUGAGGCUCGAAAGUGUGGGGAGCAAACAGG
rnacentral:rRNA from 1 species